rnacentral:rRNA from 1 species
UAGGGAAUCUUCGGCAAUGGACGGAAGUCUGACCGAGCAACGCCGCGUGAGUGAAGAAGGUUUUCGGAUCGUAAAGCUCUGUUGUAAGAGAAGAACGAGUGUGAGAGUGGAAAGUUCACACUGUGACGGUAUCUUACCAGAAAGGGACGGCUAACUACGUGCCAGCAGCCGCGGUAAUACGUAGGUCCCGAGCGUUGUCCGGAUUUAUUGGGCGUAAAGCGAGCGCAGGCGGUUAGAUAAGUCUGAAGUUAAAGGCUGUGGCUUAACCAUAGUAGGCUUUGGAAACUGUUUAACUUGAGUGCAAGAGGGGAGAGUGGAAUUCCAUGUGUAGCGGUGAAAUGCGUAGAUAUAUGGAGGAACACCGGUGGCGAAAGCGGCUCCCUGGCUUGUAACUGACGCUGAGGCUCGAAAGCGUGGGGAGCAAACAGGAUUAGAUACCCUGGUAGUCCACGCUGUAAACGAUGAGUGCUAGGUGUUAGACCCUUUCCGGGGUUUAGUGCCGUAGCUAACGCAUUAAGCACUCCGCCUGGGGAGUACGACCGCAAGGUU